rnacentral:lncRNA from 1 species
GUGGUGGCACCUCGUGCUCCAGGGGUGGGAGUCGUCCAUUCUCCUUGGCCUGGAGCUUCUCUGAGCGGGACCAGCAGGAAGGGGGUGUGAAGAACUUCUCCUGCAGACUGGAGUCCUCGGUCUUGUCAUCAUGCAUUUCAACUCCCCUAAGGUGCUGAUCCAUGUCAUCCAACUCACGGAGAGCCAAGAUAUGAAGGACCAGACAACGGAGGCUUGCCAUGCUUAACAGACAGCCUUUGGCUUGUGUCCAGAGAGAGGCAACCAGAGAUGCCAGAGACCGUGCCCUAUCAGUCCAAUGCAGCAGACUGCAAACAUGAUCCUCUCACUAUCUGCAGCCCCACCCCACUUCACCUCCAAAGUGACUGUUCCCUUCCUCGAUUUGAUGAUCCUCUUACAUAUCAGCGAUGAAACCCUCUGUCCUGCCGUCUUCUGACUUCCCACAGGCAAGUUCCCAGCCCUGGGAAUCACUGUCCCCCGAGAAAAGAGGCGCCAUGUGUUUCCUGUAGUGAAGGUGUGGAUGCAUCGUUGCUGACUUACAAGGUGCAUCCGCACCUUCACAGAAACGCCAGGGCAAAGGUCUCGCUCUCAGAGAGCUCUUCUCUCAUGAGUGUGAUGACAGAGUAGGGACAAAGGGAAUCUGUGUACACAGUGGGCACACAGGCACAUCCCAAUAUGGUUCCUUGGUUUCUGUGUCUGCUACUAACCCAGACCACUGAAGGGCUUAGCGAGUGAAUUCAGAGCACCCAGUGUCCGGCACACAGCUUGCGCUGCCCAGGGGCACUGCCGUGGUCAGCACCACCAUGCACCUUCCUAUUUCUCUCUUUAAUUUUACUUUUUUGUUUGUUUGAGGCAGGGUUUCUCUGUGUCGUCUUGGCUGUCCUGGAACUCACUUUGUUGAAGAGGCUGGCUUCAAACUCCGAGUGAUGGGAUUAAAGGCAUGCACCACCACUGCCUGGCUACUUUUCUUUCUUUGAGACAGGGUCUUGCUAUGUAUUUGGUGUAAUGCUGGCAAUGUCGCCCGGGCUGGUCUCAAGCUCAUGGCCAUCCUCUUACCUCAGCCUCUUAACUGCUCGAUUACAGACACAUGCCACCACACUUGGCUUAGUGAUCUUCUCUUCUUUUCUAUUUUUUUCUUUCUUUUUUAAUGGUACUGGGGAUUGGGGGAUUCAAUCUAGGGCCUUGGGCAGGCUAAAACAACUACCCGGUGACUCAUCCGUACCUCUAGCCUCCGACUUUAUAUUCUGUGACCUGGUGUGGCAAGUACACUCAAGAGCGUCAAUCAUGGAAGAAGACAAGAAAGGUUCGAAAACCUCUACUUUUCUAUAGUGUUUCUGAGGAUAGUCCUCCAGCCCCUUCUCAGGGGAUGCAGAACAGGAACCCAAAGACUGCUCCUGGCUCCUGGCAAUGUAGCAAACAGGAGGACUUUGGCUUUAGUCUUGUGUACCCCAUCAGUCAGUCCCCUCACCCCAUACCAGUAUAGCUGUUUCUCGGAGACUGCAUGGACUCAGGCCAGCAAUGCCCAGAGGCCUCCUUCCUUUUUCCUUUCCUUUCCUUUUCCUUCCUUCCUCCCUCCUUCCCUCCCUCCAUUCCUUCCUUCCAUGUGUCACAUGGUUCCUGCCAGUGUCGAUUCCUCAGGAACACAAGCCAGAGAAGAGGAAGCCAGCUGGUAACUCAGUCACUCUCAUCAGACUCAACUCUAGGGGAGAGCACGUGCCUUUUACGCAGAGCCCACCAGCCUGGUCUCCGGGGGGUGGGGGUGAGGGGGGGGUGGAACAGUGGGAAAGAAACCACACAGCUGGCCUCUCUAACCUGCUACUGUAGAUGCUGGCAGUCCUAGGAAACGACACAUGAGCCACUAUAAUCUUCUUUCAAGGGACGCCAAUGUCAUUGAUGAGCGCCCGUUUCAGAUGUUCCAGUCAGUUGGAUUCACCACUCAUUUUUCAAGUUUCAAUCUGCGCAGAUACUGAAUGCCAAGGAGAUUCCUCUUUCUAGAAUUUUCUCCAAAUAGUUGUCAUGAGUGUAAAAAAACAGGCCCACUGAGUUGCAACACUGGUCUCCUGUAAUUAUUUUUAUGUGAAGGAGGACCUGUCAAUAAGGUUGCCUUUCUUAAGGAAUGAGCCUUAAAAGAGAUAAGCCAGCAUUGAGCAUUAAACCUAGCAACCACCCGCCCUUAAGAGUCUCAGGAAGGGAUAUGAUACUGGGCACAAAGAUGCUGGGUUCUAAUGACAGGGCCAACUGCACAUAAAGUUAGCUACUAGGGACGAACAGUCACAGGUGAGGACACACAAGGACUCAGGCUCCAUUUCCUUUGCAGUAACUUCGAUGAAGAGGGACUAAUCCUGGUAUCUCAUAGACUCCCAGGAUGAGGAAGACAGUCACAAGCCAUUGUGGGCAAUUUAACACAUACUGUACGAUCACAAAGAACCAAGUACAGAAAAAAGUUAAAGCAAAGAAACCAGAAGAGGCCAAUAGAAAUCCUGACUCCAUCUGUAACAGCCCCUACCAAUGAUUAUCCCGGGAUAAGCUGGAACACGUCAGACCCGUGGUCCUGCAUUCCUUUAAGUUUUCCUAAGCCUCCGCUACUACAGACAGUGAAUGUUCACCACUGGAGAACAUUCUGCCCAUAUUUUGAGAACAGCUCCUUGGGAGGAAAAGGCCUUCAAAGUCAAGGGAACUAAACUCAGCCUUAACUAGACUAAAUCCUCAUCUCUCGCCAACUGUCCUUAAAAACUCAUUAAAGCACCUCAGAUAUUUUCAAAAACAUUGACAAACCACUUCUGCAAAGUUGAGAAAAAGAUGACCCAUAGGAAGUAAAAGGGAGACGGUGAACACGUGGCCAGGAACACCCGGAAGUAAUUGAAGGUUGCUCCCUAUGCCUAGAGGCCCGCCUUGAUUCCUCAGGUGUACGGAGGGUGCUUUUGCACAAUCAAUCCUACACCCUCUGGAACUAUGUCAGGAGGAAAUAAUGAGUGACUGCCAAGAUUGGGUGGGGACAGGAGCAGCCGGCAGGCCUCUUGACGUAGCCUAGGUCCACACGUCAGUGGGGUCCCUACCCCCUAGUUCAUCAUGAGUCAUUUGCUUGUUGGUACUUGCUAGAUGCUAGCCCAUAUGAGCUGUGAGGUGAGGCCAUGUUUGGAGCUGGGAUCCAGUCUUCCUAAAACUUCCACCUAUUUGAGGUGAGAUUCCCCACUGACUAGAUUCUUCUGACUCACACUCUAGAGGGGCCCUUGUGGGGUCCCUUAUUCACAUGGCACCAUCCUGUGAUUUGUACAGUGGUCAUUUGUACAGUCUGUUCUCCCAAGCCUGUGCUCAGACUCUGUGCCGGGAAGUGUCUUAGUUAAAAAAAACCCGCCAGGGAAUGUAUAAGAAAAAGAGAACAAUUUCAAGAUGUUUCAGUAAGAAGCCUAGUGCCCUUGGAGGUUUCCCAGGAACUUUACAAGGGCUUGCACAGAAUCACAUCAGCCAUUAGGCAAAUCAGUGCACUGUCCUAAUGACCCCGGCCCUCCUCCCCUCAUCAUUAGGUCUGGGAUGGUGAGGGCAGCAGAGGGCAGAGGGUUAGAGUGUAUGAUCCUCUCAAUUCUGGCUCUUGGUCAGCCCCUGUACCUGCCACCUCUCUCUCUCUCCUCAAUUCCACUGCGGGCACAGAACACUAUUUCAAAGAAAGAAGGGAUAGGUUAGUGUGGCACAGAGGGUCCUGGCUCAAUGUGCCAACUUCACAAAGAAGCCUGAUGUUCUUCAACUUCUCAGAGGUCUGCUGCUGGCUGGAGAAUGUCAGCAAAGGACAAUACCCAGACUUCUCCGGGACUCUACUAAAGAAACUCAGUAUAGAGUACCUCAUCCACCAAGGUGCCCACUUUUGGCCCUGUUUGGCAUGCUGACAUGGCAGAGGUCUCACUACUCCUUGGCUAGUCCCCGGCGUGCAUGAGUGGGACAGGCUGGCCCCUCCAGGCUUGAGGGCAGCCCAAUGAAAGGAGACACUGGAACUCAGGUCCCUGAUAAUACAGCACAGGAGAGAUGCCAGUAAUGGAGAAUGAGGAUGCUGAGUGUCAGCAGGACUCCAGUCAUAACGCCCGAGGGCACCUAACCAGUCCCAGUUCUGAGGAUGGUGCCUGGCGCCAUAUCCUCUCAGCAGCCUUGGGCUCUGUGCAGAUAUUUAUCCUCCAUCUGCCAAUCCCGAGGUCCCUCACGCUGGCUCACUAAACCAGGGAGACAUGGGCAAGAAUAACAUUUUCCUUGCUUUUCUCUAUUUACAACUGCUGCAAAAUGAAACAUCCCGCAGCACACCACAUCCUGCACAAGGUCCUUCCGUUAGCGGGACUCUACACUAGGUGGGUAACCUGGUCCCCACGGCCAGCUGUGCCCUCUCUACCCUUAGUGUAAAUCAGGGCUCUGGGAAACAGUGGCUUCCACAGCCCACGCUCCACACCUGCCUGAGCCUUCGCUUUCCCACCCUCCAAUCAGGAAAAAGAGAAAGAAAAGAAAAACUCAGAAACCUGAAGAUUGUUUGGAAUUUAUUCUCUUAAAUAAGAAUGUAACAUUUGUUUAAAAAAAAAAAAAACACCAAAAAAAAAGAAAAAACCCUUAAAGCACAACACCUCGGUUUCACAGUAAUGGCAAGAACAAAGUUACACAAUUAAAAAAACUCACAAAGCAACACACC